rnacentral:rRNA from 1 species
UACGGAAGGCAGCAGUGGGGAAUAUUGCACAAUGGGCGCAAGCCUGAUGCAGCCAUGCCGCGUGUAUGAAGAAGGCCUUCGGGUUGUAAAGUACUUUCAGUCGUGAGGAAGGUGUUAAGGUUAAUAACCUUAGCAAUUGACGUUAGCGACAGAAGAAGCACCGGCUAACUCCGUGCCAGCAGCCGCGGUAAUACGGAGGGUGCGAGCGUUAAUCGGAAUUACUGGGCGUAAAGGGCACGCAGGCGGUUAAUUAAGUUGGAUGUGAAAUCCCCGGGCUAACCUGGGAAUGGCAUUCAAGACUGGUUAGCUAGAGUCUUGUAGAGGGGGUAGAAUUCCAUGUGUAGCGGUGAAAUGCGUAGAGAUGUGGAGGAAUACCGGUGGCGAAGGCGGCCCCUGGGACAAGACUGACGCUCAUGUGCGAAAGCGUGGGGAGCGAAACAGGAUUAGAUACC